UACGAAGGGAGCUAGCGUUGUUCGGAAUCACUGGGCGUAAAGCGCACGUAGGCGGAUGUGUCAGUCAGGGGUGAAAUCCCGGAGCUCAACUUCGGAACUGCCUUUGAUACAGCACGUCUUGAGUCCGAUAGAGGUGGGUGGAAUUCCUAGUGUAGAGGUGAAAUUCGUAGAUAUUAGGAAGAACACCGGUGGCGAAGGCGGCCCACUGGAUCGGUACUGACGCUGAAGUGCGAAAGCGUGGGGAGCAAACAGG
rnacentral:rRNA from 1 species